GAUGAGAACGCAGCGAAAUGCGAUACGUAGUGUGAAUUGCAGAAUUCAGUGAAUCAUCGAAUCUUUGAACGCACAUUGCGCCCCUUGGUAUCCCGAGGGGCAUGCCUGUUCGAGCGUCAUUUCACCACUCAAGCCUGGCUUGGUGUUGGGCGACGUCCUCUUUGGGGACGCGCCUCGAAACGCUCGGCGGCGUGGCACCGGCUUUAAGCGUAGCAGAAUCUUUCGCUUUGGAAGUCGGGGCCCCGUCUGCCGGAAGACCUGCUCGCAAGGUUGACCUCGGAUCAGGCAGGGAUACCCGCUGAACUUAAGCAUAUCAAUAAGCGGAGGA
rnacentral:misc_RNA from 1 species